rnacentral:rRNA from 1 species
GACGAACGCUGGCGGCGUGCUUAACACAUGCAAGUCGAACGGAAAGGCCCUGCUCUUGUGGCGUGCUCGUGUGGCGCACGGGUGAGUAACACGCGAGUAACAUGCCCUUGUCUUUCGGAUAACUUCAGGAAAAUGGGGCUAUUACCGGAUAGGAGCUCCUGCUGCAUGGUGGGGGUUGGAAAGUUUCGGCGGUGGGGGAUGGACUCGCGGCUUAUCAGCUUGUUGGUGGGGUAGUGGCUUACCAAGGCUGUGACGGGUAGCCGGCCUUGGAGCGUGACCGGCCACAUUGGGACUGAGGUACGCAGCAGACGCGUACGGGCGGCAGCAGGGGGGAAUAUUGCACAAUGGGCGGAAGCCUGAGGCAGCAACGCCGCGAGCGUAAUGACGGCCUUCUGGUUGUAAACCGCUUUCGCCUGUGACGAAGCGUGAGUGACGGUAAUGGAUAAAGAAGCACCGGCUAACUACGUG